UUGGAGGGCAAGUCUGGUGCCAGCAGCCGCGGUAAUUCCAGCUCCAAUAGCGUAUAUUAAAGUUGUUGCAGUUAAAAAGCUCGUAGUUGAAUUUCGGGGUCAGUAGGCUGGUCGUGCCACAGGUAUGUACUGGUCUUACUGAUUCCUCCUUCCUGAUGAACCGUAAUGCCAUUAAUUUGGUGUUGCGGGGAAUCUGGACUGUUACUUUGAAAAAAUUAGAGUGUUUAAAGCAGGCUAACGCUUGAAUACAUUAGCAUGGAAUAAUGAAAUAGGACGAUCGAUCCUAUUUUGUUGGUUUCUAGGAUUGACGUAGUGAUUAAUAGGGAUAGUUGGGGGCAUUAGUAUUCAAUUGUCAGAGGUGAAAUUCUUGGAUUUAUUGAAGACUAACUACUGCGAAAGCAUUUGCCAAGGAUGUUUUCAUUAAUCAAGAACGAAAGUUAGGGGAUCGAAGACGAUCAGAUACCGUCGUAGUCUUAACCAUAAACUAUGCCGACUAGGGAUCGGAUGAUGUUAAUUUUUUAAUGACUCAUUCGGCGCCUUACGGGAAA
rnacentral:rRNA from 1 species